rnacentral:tRNA from 1 species
UGGUCGGGAUAGCUCACCUGGUAAAGCAAAGGACUGAAAAUCCUCGGGUCACC